CCUGCCUCUUUCUUGCUCUGUUUGGCACUAGCACAUUUUUGCUGGGCAGGUGUGUAGGCCAAAAUUGUUAGUGCCAAAUACAGCCUGAAAGCCGGACUUAC
rnacentral:pre_miRNA from 1 species